GUACUACUGAAGAGUCCCAAACUAGGACGAAACAGUUGUUCCAGUAC
rnacentral:hammerhead_ribozyme from 1 species